UGGGGUGUCGACAAGCGGCAAGUCACAGGAUUUUGAUUCCUGCAUUCGGAGGUUCGAAUCCUCCCGCCCCAGCCA
rnacentral:tRNA from 1 species